rnacentral:rRNA from 1 species
GAUGAACGCUAGCGAUAGGCUUAACACAUGCAAGCCGAGGGGCAUCGCGAGAGUAGCAAUACUUUUGGCGGCGACCGGCGCACGGGUGAGUAACGCUUAUGCAACCUACCUGCCAAUGUGGGAUAACCCGGCGAAAGUCGGACUAAUACCGCAUAAUACAAUUUAUUCGCAUGGAUAGAUUGUUAAAGAUUCAUUGUUGGCGGAUGGGCAUGAGUUCCAUUAGGCGGUUGGUGAGGUAACGGCUCACCAAACCUUCGAUGGAUCGGGGAACUGAGAGGUUGGUCCCCCACACGGGAACUGAGACACGGUCCGGACUCCUACGGGAGGCAGCAGUGAGGGAUAUUGGUCAAUGGGUGAGAGCCGGAACGAGCCAAGUGGCGUGAAGGAUGAAGGAUCUAUGGUGCGUAAACUUCUUUUAUAGGUGAAUAAAGUGCAGGACGUGUCCUGUUUUGUAUGUAACCUUGUGAAUAAGGGUCGGCUAACUCCGUGCCAGCAGCCGCCGUAAUAC